rnacentral:lncRNA from 1 species
AGUGCUGGAGGGUUAGGGAGAGCUGCCUGGGCUUGACCGCGCGCCGGUCUCAAAGUCCUGGCUUUGGCCCCUCCUCCGUUUUCCCCUGUGGACCAUUCCGCUUCGCAGCGUUUUCAAAAACUGGAGCGAAAGUGAUGUGGGCGGGGCAAAGGCGGCGGGAAGAGGAGAGCACUGAAGCUGGCGCGGGAACUUGGUUUCCUGGUGGCCUCCCAUCCAAUCCCCACGAACCAGCUUUCCUCUUAAACCUUGAAAAGAGAAAUUCGGGAGUUCGAGUAUAAGUUCUUAGUCGUCCUUUCCUCUUUCCUUUCCGACAGGAGCACCCCAGGCAAAAAAUGUCUCGCGGGUCAUUGGCGCCAGGCUUUCAGGGGACAGUGGGGCGGGGCGGGGUGGGCACAGGACGUUAGGCAGCCGUUGGCCCUCCCUAAGGCCACACCGUCCUGCCGUCCUGGAUCCUGCGCCAGCUGCGCGGGGGAGGGGACUCGAAGAUGAAUUCCCUCUGCUGACAACCAAACGUGUGUUCUGGAAGGGUGUUUU